CGCUGAGUUUGAUCCUGGCUCAGGACGAACGCUUGCGGCGUGCCUAAGAAAUGCAAGUCGAACGGACAGUGGCUUCGGUUACUGUUAGUGGCGAACGGUCGCGUAACACGUAAGAAACCUGCCUUGAAGCGGGGGACAACAGUCCGAAAGGACUGCUAAUACCGCAUGUGGUCAACGAGAGGCAUCUCUCGUUGUCUAAAGAUUUAUCACUUCAAGAUGGUCUUGCGGCCUAUCAGCUAGUUGGUGGGGUAACGGCCUACCAAGGCGACGACGGGGUAGCUGGUCUGAGAGGACGAUCAGCCGGAUUGGGACUGAGAUACGGCCCAGACUCCGUACGGGGGUCAGCAAUUAGGAAUCUUGC
rnacentral:rRNA from 1 species